GUCCAUCUCAAAGACCUAUAUGUGUACCAAAGCAUACAUAAAGUUAGAGUAGCACUUAAUCUCCAAAAUCUAUAUGGAAACUUAUAACCAUUUCACCAUAUUUUGACCAUAACUUCUUUUAGGAUUAGAAUUGGGUUAUGAAACCUCCACCAUUAGAAAGUACGUUUUGAGUACAUCAAUUUCGAUAUAUAAUUUGCCCAAAAAGGAGUUCGGAUGAAAAAGAUAUGAUCGUCCGAAGUUUCACAACAGUUGCUGAAAAGUUACCCGAGAGGUACAGGUACCACAAAAACUCAGUACAGGUACCACAAAAACUCAGUACGGGUAC